CCUCGGCGCUGACCCCGCCCCUCGCCGCGCCGGCCCCGCCCUCCCGCCUGUCCCUCCUCCCUCCCGCCCGCCCCGGGCCCGGCCCCGGCCCGGCCCCGCUAAGUUUUGCAAGCGCUUGGGCUGCGCGUGGCCACCCGCAUGUUACCCUAGGUGUCCUGACUCCGAGGGGCCGCCGAGCGGGGCGAAGGGUUCAGCCUUUCGAUCUCUCGUCGCCUCCCGGGUCUGGCCGCGGGGAUCUUCUAACAGCCUGGGCUCUGUUAUCUGCUUCCUUUUGUCCCUCUCAUUUCUGCCUUUGCUUCCACACCCAGCGAGAUGCAGCGCCCAGACCAAAACUUGAGUUCUUUACUCAAACUACAAAGUGAGUUUACUACCGAGAGAGAAAAAGUUAAAAUAAAGGGCCAAAUCUUAUGAGAAAAUUGUAGUAUAUUUUUAGUAGCGAGUGUGGAAUACCAGUGCUUCUCAAACUUUAAUAUGCAUCCGGCACACUUGACGAUCUUGUUAAAAUACUGACUCUGGUUCAGUAGAUCUGGCAUGGAGCCUGAGAUUCUGCAUUUUUAACAACAUCGUGGCUGAUUCCAAGGCUGAUGAUCCGGGAGCCACAGUUGUGAUAACAAAGCCUCAGAGAAAUCAAGUUUUAAGCCCCAAGUCCUGCAGUGAAUGAGCAGCAGAGCUGCAGCUCAUCUCAGUCCUGUGGAUCGCACCAUGGCCUGGAAGGAAAAGUUUAGGGCAAUAUAACCCUCUACAAACAACCUUCUGAGAGCAGGACAAGUGUUUUCACAAAGCUUCAUGGAAUGUCAAAGUGCAGGAACAAAACACUUCAGCUGGAAAAAUAACGCAUAGCCAGAAAUCAACCCCAAUCCUACCAGAAAUAAUGAUGCCAGGAAACAGAGCUACAUACACAAAAGGGAAUGUGUACCAGGAUACACAUAAUAAAGUCACCUUGGCAAAGCUGGUAUCCUCCUGGCUAAGCCAGAGGAGUGAUUCAACUUAAGAGAGAAUUGGAAGGAGGACAUGUGCCCUAGCUAGUCCAUCUGAAGAAGUGUGCCAACCCACCCUGCAAUGUUCAAGUCCCUGCCUUAUCAUCAUAAGCCUGAUCAUAGCAAAAAUAUGGAGUGGUUACAAUGAAAAUUUCCAAGGUAGAAAAAGAUCAGGCAGUGGUAAUACUAGAAGCUGGCUGCAUAGGCCAGAGGCUCAAAUCUCACAGUGCAGGGCCAAAGAAGACAAAGUUGAAGUCGAUACUGAUGUGGGCCAGUUGGCUUUGCACUAAGGAGGAAAAAAGUUCUAUGGUCACUGGCUAGAACCUUCAUCCCACUCAGUCAUCCUGCCAAUGCUGGUGUUUGGGGUUAAAAAGGGAUUGGGAAAGAGUGUGGAAGACCUAUUGCCAGUGUUGACAAGCAGGGCUGACAUUCAGACAGAGCACACCAAUAGGGACAGCCAACUGUCGAAUAAUAAAACACCUCCGGACCAGUUGGGGGCUGAUCCCCCUGGGUGCCUCCCAUAUCACCCCAGCUGCCCCUGGAGCUCCCUGAUGCAGUGACCAUUUAGGAUUAAAGCCUCAUGCAACUAGUUGA